rnacentral:sRNA from 1 species
ACAUAGCCCCGAUAGAAGCGGCAUCGCCCGAUUUAAAUAAACGAAGGCAACAAGCCUUGUUUUUUUAAAUCGGGAAUACAGCGGAUAGCGGGAGGGAAC